GCGGCCACGUUUUUAGGGUUGGUUGCACCGUGCGAUCCCCCGGGAGAGGUCUGGAGGGCUGGGCUGCUGCGUUUUAGCAUUGCAGAGAGCGGGCUAUGGAGUAGAGACUGGGGGCGGGGGGCCAGCCGAGACACGGUUUUAGCAGAUGCGCGAGGGACCCUCCCAAGGAAAGGCUCUGUCGGGAUUUCCCCCACCCACUCAUUUUAUUUGGCGGGGAGGAGGCGCAAUAAGGAUGCUUAUUAUCGCUGCUUUUUUUGCUCUAACUUUGCACGUUGUAACAUCCCUUCAGUGAGGAAGACGCCGAUCCCCUCUAGGAUACUGAUCUGAAACACACACCUAUGCCUACAUUUAGAGCUGCAAAUGCAAAGGAAGGAAGGGAGUGUUCUGCCCCAUCGCCCCCCACCCCCAACUUCAAGAAACUAUCUCUUUUAGGAGGUGUGAACUAUGCAAAUUAUCUUCAGGGCGAUUGGCUGGCUUGCUGAUGACGUCAAAAAUCCCACCACCAAAGCACAGGCUUUUAUUGGCUGUUGCAAGAGGCAGGCAGGACUGGGAAUGCUCUGCAUCACUGCUUCCCUAAGACCUGCAUAGGGAACCCAAAGUCUGUCUCACUCCUGGGACUAAUCAAUCUCCGAUCUGUAAUACGAAAAGCUGGACGUUCCUGCUUCUCCUUGCAGACACAGGAAUGGAGAGCGACAGUCUGAAUCAAGAAGAAAUGUCAGUUGCUUGAAAAACCUUCUGCUGAUCUUGUGACUGCAAAGAGAAAAAGACAACUUUAUCAAGGAAACCUCUCCUGGGAAAGAGGAAUCACACUAUCUCAUGGUGGUUCACAGAUCGGCAGCAUUGUCCUGGGAGCGUCACCCAAACAUCACCUGGGAGCUUGUCAUAAAUGUGGAAUCCCAAGCCCCCACCCCACGCCUACUGAAUCAGCAGCAUAUUUUAACAAAAUGCCUGCAUGAUUCUUCUGCACAUUAAAGUCUGAGAAGCACUGCUCUGCAACACGACCAGCAACAUACAGAAUAAGCAGAGAAGGGAGCAAGAUGGUCUGGAACAGGGAUUCUUAAAACAAGUUCCCUUGGAAAUCAGUUUGAGCUGGAAGAAGGUAUGUUCUGCUGUUCAACUUGAUAAUGGGGCUCUUCUCCCAAUUAAGUUAAUGAAUUAUAUUUUCUCAUCUUCCAAAAUUCUUCCUGUC